GGCUUGAUGGCAUAAUGGUAACACGCUCUGUGUUGUUUUACAGCAUUUGUAUAUCACAAGACAGACAGUUCGGAGUUUGAUUCUCCGUAAAGCCA